rnacentral:lncRNA from 1 species
UAUGUUUUAAAUAACCAAAAUAUAUGUAUAGGAGUUCGGCUAGGAUACUAUUGAUAACACUAAGGACUUGAUAUUAUCGAGUUUUUCACCAUUAGAUUUAACCUUUUAAUUAUUUUUAUCCGUUAAAUUAUACUAUUCAACCAACCACCCACUCAACCCUAAGAGGCUCACAUCAUCCUAACCGUAUAUUUCUCAAUCCAAUAGCUAAAACACUACUAGCACCAAUAACUUUGUGCUAUUAAUAGUAUUUCAACUUAGUUCUAUAUAUAUAUAUAGGUACAAAUUGCAUAAUUCAUUUUUAAAAGCUUUUUGUGUUUGUGUAAACAUAAAUUUGUAGAGAGAGAGAGAUAUAUAUAUAUAUAGAGAGAGAGAGAGAGAGAGAGAGAAUUGCAUAAGGUAGGCUUAAAUGUUGGAGCAAAUGGCGCCGUAUUUAGGUGGGCUAGGAAUAAAUAAAAUAAAAUAGGUUACAGCAAGAGGGAGCCAUGUGCAAAUGGUUGUAGAAGUCCAAGGAUGAGUUUUAAUUGGGGGGGACCCAAUGACCCACUACUUUGCUCCUUUUUCAAUUAAUUAAUUUGGUGAGUCCACUUUAAUUUAACUAUUUUGAUUUGAUUUGGUGAGCCUACACCUUCUUUGGUCUAGGAAUAAUUUGUUGGGCCAGUUUAGUUGUGAAGUUAUAUGCAACUAUAAAAGCAUGUUAUCUUACAUUAGCUGGAUUGCAUGGAUUGAGAAUUUAGGUUUACAUUUAUUAGUUUGGUCCCACUUGAGUUGCUUGGUGGUAUGAAACAUGGUUUGAAUCUAAAUUGAAUAGUAAUUGUUCUUUUCAUUCUCUCUGUUGCGUGCCACGUGUCUGUUCGAAUAAAAGCUGUUAAAAAAGUUUUUACAAAAGAUUAUAAGAGGGAUUUUUUCUUUUUUGUUUUUGUCCUUUGCAUCAUUUGAAACUUAAUUUCAACUUAGAUCAUAUACUAAAUAAUUUUGUUAGUUAAUUUAAGCCAUUCCUAUUGUGAAAGCUGCAUAACAAUUAGAACCACAUUAAAUUAGUUUGAUUGAACAUGGUUUGAACUUUGAACCAAAAUUUCAAGUGUACUUUUGGAUAUAAAUGCCAACUCCCCUCUUAAUUCCAUGCCACCUAAUUUAAAUUUUAAAUAAAACCUAUUACGCACUAAUUUUAUUACCAAAAUUGAUGGAAUUGAAACUCAGUUUACUUCAAUUGAUGAACUACACUUUCACUGAUACCAUAUUAUUCAAAACAUCAAUUUAACAGAAAACACCCAAUAAUAGCUAAUUAGUCGCCAUGCGAUCUUAGCUGAUUUAGUUGUUUCUUCUUUUCUUAAUACGUAUAUCAAAUUGAGUUUGACAAAAUAAUCUGAUUAACAUAGAAAUUAAAAUUUAAUAUAUUAACUACAAUAAAUCAAAGAUCCAUGGUUUACGUAAAAAUAAUGCAGAUGCCACCACAAGUUCAGCAUAAUUAUCUACCUGUAUCUAUAUCUAUAUCUAUAUUUUUGCUAAUCCUAAAAGAUUAUUAGAUGCAUAUGUUUUAUAUUUUACUUCAUAAUUUCAAUCAAUCCACCUUCUUUUUUUUUGUUCUCAAAAAAUAAUUUUUGAAUCAUAAAAAGAGGAUGGGAAAAAAGAGGGGUGAUUAAGGGCUAUCAGAAUUUGGGUGGUCCAUAGCUAAAAUGGAGGACCAAUUCCAAGGAACAAAAAAAGCCUAGUAAAGGAUAUGUUGGACCCCAUAAGGCCCAUUAACCAGCCCAAAUUAUUGCACGUAGGCCCAAAUCAGAACAGAGUACAUAGAAAAAAAAUAAAAAGGGGUAAACUUCAAUUUAUCCCAUGGUUUAAUCCCCUUGGACUUUAUCAUUAUAUGAUUUAAAAUUUUAAAAUUUUACUAUAUAAAUAUCUAAGUGUUGAGAAGCACUUCUGAUGAAAUUUAUACCUUACAAUAUAAUAUUUAUAUGCCAAUUAUGUCCAUCAAGUUUUGAUACAAAUUUAAUGGUCAUUUGAAAAAAAAUUAACCUAUUCAGAAUGAAAUAUAAAGGACAAGGUUAAAAAUGAAAUAAUUCAAAAUUGAACAAAAAUGAAAAAGUUGAGAUGCAGAGCAUGGGCCAAACUAAAGUAGUAUUCCAUACCUUCAAUAGUUAAAAUUCAAAGCACCAAAUUGAAGUAUCUACUUUCUACUACAACGUCCAACGUAGAUAUCUCAUAACAAUUUAUCAUUUUUUUUUUUCGCUUUUGCUUCUUUUCUUUUUUUUUUUCCAACACUAUUACCCUUUAACACCAUAACUAACAACCUCAGCAACAGCAGUAGUCCCUUUACUAAGAGCCAAGGGAUACACUUUUAUCAACUAGAGGAGAAGUUGUUUCCAUUGUAUUGUUGUUACUAUUUAAGACAUUGUAGUUUCUCUAUGAGGUGAUGGGAUGUCUCAGUAAGUUAGUUAGAAGCACUUUUCUCUUCUUUCUCCUUUACAUAAAAAUGAAAAGCAUAAAAGCUUUUAGUCAGAAUAAUUUGUGGAAAAUGCCACCACACAGCAUAGGGCCACACACAGUAGUCACCACAAGAUUUGGGGGCCAUAAAAAGAUCCCUAGAAUAGAUUCUUUAUUUUACUGUGGAAAAUAAUUGCCUGUGCCUGGUGCAUCACUCCAAUUUGUGCACUUUCUCUGGAAGAUAAAUAAUUUUAGAAUGGAUGGAGAGAGGCUUGGAUGGUCUACAGCUGACAUGGUGCACCAAGUCCACAAAAUAGUUUUUCCCUGUGGUGGCACAUCCUUCACAUGGAUAAAGGAAAGGUGCCCUAACUGAGCAGGAAGAAUUAAAGCUGCAUUGCUUCCUUUUUUCUUUUCUUUUUUUUUUCUUUUUUUUUUUUUUAAUCUUUUAUCUUUGAAGUGCAAAAGAGUAAGUUUCUCACAAAGUUCCUAGUUGGGUAGAUCGUGCCUUUAAUAAUCGUGCAGAAAAGCAUUACACUGGGACCUCUAAGCUUUGAUUUUUGCUAGGGGGUUAUUAUUUUCUCCUUUUACUGAGCUAGCUGUGCAUUGCCCACUUAUUAAUGUCUGAGGGCUUUGAGGGAUCCCCACAAGAAAAAUAAAAAGGUUUUGAGCCUUUCUUUCUUGGGCCUCUUUAUACAUUUGACCAAAAUUGGGGAACUAAGAGACCACUUAUAUUGAUUGAUCUAAUAUCUAGGACUUUCACAUUUAUCUUACUCAAAAUGCUUCGUCUCGCACAAAGGGUUCUACGUGUGGUCUGUUUGUCGGCAAAUUCAUAUGGUAUGUUGAACUACGUGCAUGAAUCACUCAAAUUUCUAUACAUCAUGAAUGCCAACACUUCAGCAGCAAAUAAAACCGACAUUCUAGGGUAUUCGUCGCGAUGCUCUUACCUUAUAGAGAAGGAACAGAUGAUGUAGGGGCCAAUUUGAAUGGAGCAUAAGAAAUCCUACCAUGAAAGCCAAACAAAAUUUACAAUGGCCACAAAUCUACUAUCAAACAGGCAACAUGUACAGUGCAUUUUGCAGUGCAUUUGGCUGAUAUUGCAGGCAAACUCUAUCAUAACAUAUUUUGAUCACAGCUUCAGGAUGUCCAAUCAUUGUCUGGCUAUAAGUGGGACAUAUUGGAUUUGAAUAAAUGGAAGCUCGCAUUUUUAAUAUAUGAUAAACAAAAUACGUAGAAAAAGAAAACAUAAAUAAAAUAAAUGAAUAAUAAAUAAAAGCUGACAAGUGAAGGCAGGAUAGUGAUUCAAAAGGUUACCAGGCAGUAGGAAGAGGCUGAUUCCAAUUCCAAGCAGUGUAGGUAGCUUUCGGCAGCAGCGCAGCGAUGAUGGCGAUCUCUGUCCGAUGAAUUUGACCACAUUUAAUGAAUCCGAUGAAGUUCUAUUACAUAUAAGAUAUAUCAACAUCAGAUCCCGACAAAUGACACUAAUUGACUAGAUCAGAUUCAUCGAAUACAUAGCAAUCAACUGCAACGAUAAUAAAAACCUACUCUGUUAAUGAUACCAUCCUCGUAAAAUAGUUUUAGUUCCGAAUCUCGCUAAAACUUUCUAUCACAACAAAAGACUUUGCGAAUUUUUAUUUGCUAAAUACCCAGAAAUAGAUUUUCACAAUUCUGUAUGUAACUUGGAAUAUCUGGCUAAUAGGCAAAAAGCUGGGAGAGCAGUGGUUGCAUAUUAUAAUUGCAUGCUCUACUACAACUGCUUAGAGAAACAUAAAAGCCCUACUGAAGAUACCUGCACAUUUGUGCUCCAUUAGCAUUAACAAUUACUAUAACUGUUACUAUAUUAUGAGCACAGUUCUCUAGGCCUUGGGGUGUGAGCUCUGUUCAAAUUUAAGUUUCAUGUUGUUGAAUGUAGGGUGGUCAAAAAACCCCUCUGCUCCCCAAAAUUUUUUAUGACAAUAAUGGCCAAUCAUUAGCAAUACUAACAGGCUUUUCUCUAACUUUAUGUUGUAGAUUACUAGGAUUUACUUUUUUCAGCUGUUUUUUUUUACCAAUUCACCAGAGGCUACACAUCCUAUGUUUCUAGCCUUUUCAACUCCAUGGAAUUCAAAUUUAUUAUAUGAAAUUCAUACAAUUAAACGGUAACACAUCCAUACGACAAAGUAAUAAGUAUAUGUGGUAGGAUUUAGAAAAGAAAAAAAAAAAACAACAGAUAAGAUCAUGGAUAUAGAAUAAACAGACAUACAGGCAAAAGAGUAAAAGGAUGUAAAAUGAAGCAAAUUCUCUUAUAUCCAAAGGUUGUAGACAUGCCAAUCAACCUGCACAACAAAUUAUUUUCCACACCAUUCCUUUUAAACACACCCUAUAGAAAACAUGCUCAUUCCUAACUUAGUAGUUUUAGCCACGCAUAUUGUUCUAGUGAGAGCUAAGAUUGAACAACUAUACUAUUGACAGUCAAAAAUAGCUUGGGUACUUUGAAACAACAAAUUUAAUGAAAUGCACAGGAGAAGUUAAAAGAGAACAAAACAAUGGCUUAGUUGAAUAGGGUGGGGACCCCAUUAGAGGGCUUCCCCCACACAAUCCACUGCAUUUCCUUUUUCUUGGAUGCCCUCCCUAUUUCCAAAAUCCCUGACAAGUCCUCCAUAAUUCUUUCUUAUUUGGCCCUAUUCCAGCUUUUAAUGAUGCUUCUUCCCCUCUCCUCUCCUUUCCCCCUCAACACCACCAUCCCCCCACUCUUGACACCCACACCCCAACAAGAGAGAGAGAGAGAGAGAGAGAGACAGAGUACACAGGAAUGGAGAAAACUCCCCCCUCCAAUGACCACUUAUUAGUAGUAGUGGAAGAAGACUACAUAGAUAUGGAUCUUAGUAGCUCCACUAUCACCUCCUUGUGCCGGUCAAGAUCCUCCUCCCCUCCACAUUCCAAAGAAUUUGAAUUCCAAAUGUCCACCAAUACUCAGGAGAAAGAAACAACCACCUCCCCUGCCGAUGAGCUCUUCUACAAAGGUAACCUCCUCCCUCUCCACCUGCCCCCUAGGCUACAAAUGGUUCAACAGCUCCUCAACAACACCCAAACCACCAAUUCAGCUGCGGAGGAGAACAUAGACACCACCACCACCACCACCAUCACCACCACUAGUGUAAAUGUUGAGACUAAUCCAGAAGACUACUUAGAGUGCUCAGCGCGACUCAUCCAAUCGAACCCGAAAAGAUCAUGGUCCAAGAAGCUCAAGUUGAUAAGGCAAACUCACCUUGGUACAAAGAUUAAAGCUUCAAGAGAUUAUAUCAAGUCUCUCUUCACCAAACCAAGUAGCUCGAAUGAUGACAAUGUCUAUACAAAAGAAGGGAGAAAGAAGGACUCACUAAGCCAAAUCCUGCAGGAGAGAUACUUAGUAACAGAGACCAGCGCUACAACGCUAAAAAGUAGAAUUGAUAGAGAGAAACUGACGGAAGAGGAUAUGGGUCAUAGAAAAUCCUUCUCUGGAAUCAUCAAGUGGAGAUUAACAACCAAAUCUUCAUCGUCGAGUUCGGCUUCCUCAUCAUGCUCUUCUUCUUUCUCGUCGUCAUCAAGUUCACUGGGGGGCAAUUUGAGUGGGUUGAACCAGAUAAGGAUGCUGAAGAGGAGCAACAGUGUGAAUUCGGAGGGGGAGAGCUCAAUACAAGGGGCCAUUGCUUAUUGCAAGAAGACACAGGAGAUGGUUUCAGCUAGAAAGAGUGUGAGUGAUGUUGGCUUCUAUUCCUUUUCUGUUCCUAAUAUUACUACAGCUUGUGAGAGCCAAGAGAGAAGAGAGCUCUACAGAGGAUGAUUGGAAUAAUGUGAAGAAUUCUAUGUUUUGUGUUUAUUUUUUGAGGAAAAAUGUAUUGUUUCCUGAUUUCUAAAGGAUUUGAGUGUUCCUGUUCUUUAGGUGGCAAUUUUGAUUUGAAGGAAAGAAAUUUCAUGACAUUGAAAUUCGGGUGGUUCCAUAUAGCAUCUUAGUUUUCAGAUACAAAAAUGCCAUAUCGGUUGAUCAAAUCUAAAUUGAAGUAACAAUAUUAGUCAACUAAUUGUGGAAAGUCCUUAAUUCUAUAUUUCUUCUCAAUUUUCUCAUCAUUUGUUUAGCCCUGCAUCUAUAUUUGUAUCCUGCAGCAAUAGUCAUGGCAGAGCAUUUGACAAACAGGAAAGUCUAAAGCUGCUUCUAUAAAGAAACAUAAAUAAAACUUUGAGCACCAGAAGUAAAAGAUCCAAAUUGAUACUUCUGAAAGUUUGUUAGAGGGUACGUUAAUAUAGUUUUUUUUUUUUUUUUUUUUUUUUUUUUCUAAUAGCACUGUUAGCAGCCUAGAGCAAAGCCAAAUCGACCAUCUAAACAAAAUGACAAUAAUUCUUCGAAAGUGAAAUGCAAUUCUCAUGCAUGAUAACUAAUUUAUCCCGAUCCUAGAUAUAAAAUUUUUGGCGAGACACAGUACCUUUUAGGUUGGAGAUUAGUUAUCGGUCGUGUUUCCAACCAAUCUUGUCUCCUUUUGAUUAGGAAAAGAGCUAAAUUUUUCCACCCAAGAUGAGCUAGCAGAAAAGGAAAUGAGGGAGGUGGAUAGUUGAACUACACAUUGGAGACAAAGGGACUUAACAAAAAUGUCUACUUCAAAAAAGGACAUGGCGAUGACCUGAUGGGACUCUUCAUAGGUGUUUUCUAUCAGGUCCUUGUGGGGAUCUAUUUUCACUAUUUGUUCCUAAAUAAUAAAGGUGUUUCCAACAGGAGAAAGGAAUAUACAUGCAGUUGAUUUAAACAAGCGAGACCAACAUUAGUAACUUAGAUUAAUUAUUUAAGAGGGCAUGACUUCUUGAGAAGGAUGUUCAACAGAAAUAUAAAGCUAAAUAGGUGAAUUAGUGGAAUAGAUAAAGCUCAUUUCAAGAUAAGCCCAAAUUAGAUCUGUUUAAGAUUGUACGCUCACAUACUACACGGACAUAUCAAUUUAUCAGCAAGAAGAACAACACAUAAGUAAUGUUAAAAGAGGUGAAAAAUAUAUAGAUACAAAAUUACAUGGUCGAUAACCAUAGCUGACACUGGGAUUCAGUGGGUAAAAUGAAACUAAUAUGACCAAUCCUAGUUUCUUUGGGAUGGGAGGAAGAUUCAUAUAGCCAAACCCAUCUAGUAUCCAUCUAUAUACUAGAAUUAGUUCAAAAGUAAAUUUUGCGAGAGACAAGACGGUGGUGGUUUGAGAAGCCUAAUCGAUGAAAGGAAGAACAAGAUUCACUCAUUUGUGUCCUCUCCUUCAUCUUCAAUUCUCUGACAGUUGUUGCACCCACAGAAAAAAGGUGGUAUACUAAUAGAACCAGAACCACUGUUACUAUAUACAGCUCGGAUUCAUUGAAUUCUACUCAGAGACAAUGACCAGAUUCAGAAUCCUUCCAUCAACAGUAAUAUGGCUCUAUUAAGCAUGAGUUUUUGCACCAGAGAGGAUGGAAAUAGGAGGUACUGGGAAAGAUGUGCAGGACCUUGUUAUUCCUUGUCCAAGGAUGAAGACGGUAAAAGAGGUACUAUUCACAAGUCUACUAGAGAAAUUACCCUAGGGAGAUCGCCAAAGAACCUAUGUAAAAGAGGCGCAAGAUAGACGGGUGAAUGAAUGGGUACUUGUUCUGGGCAGCUUAUAAAAUAGCUUCCCUACUUUGAAAAGCAAUAACCGAAUAUUUAGCAGACAAACUAAAAGAGCAUUCCCUAGUGAGAAGCUAAAAUAAGAAUUUAGGCUCCAAAACAGAAACCUAUAUUUGAACAUUCUAAGCCUGUUGUAGAGAGAUGUUGUUAUGGAUGUCUUAAAGAAAAUGUUGUUAGUACUUAUCUUAACGGCUCUAUUCUCACAGAAGCUUUAACCUAGCCAAUUAAGCCCAAAUCGUAAUGAAUAAUAAAGCACCUAAAUCGAAGAAACACAAGAGAAAAGGAAUUUUUUCACAAGUACAUAGCAACAAAAUCCAAGAAAAAUAUCCUGAUACAACGUUGUGACUUCAUUGAAGUAGUAGCAGAUUUUCCAAGGGGUAAUAAAAAAGGAGGUAAGUUGAUAGAUUUGUGUCAUCACCAUGCCCAUGAUAAUACAUCCUAGGCAACUACAGAUCAGCAGUCUAAUCAUACAGUUAAAGACAGAAAAACAACUACAUAAAUUUCAGUGAACUAUUCGAGCAUGUGGAUCUAACUGUUUCAAUGGUAAAGGUGCAGCUUAGAAGGUAGUCACCAAGGAAAUAAAAUGAAUAGUUGUUGGUUGGCUCACUAUGUUUGUUUAGGGCUUGUCUUUGGCUUUAGCUGCAGUUACCAUGUAAAUGACUGCAGCUGUCCAAAGAACCACUAAAUGUUUUUCUUUUUUUCCACUAAGAGCCCAUCAAAAUUUUCAUCCUAUUACGAACCCAAAACUUCUGAAGCUUCAUAGCUCCUGCUUUUAGGGUACAAAAAGCUCAUUUAAACUUCACAAAAUGAAUAAUUCUUCUCAGGACGCAAAAGCUAUUCCAAAUGACGGCCAAACAGGAAUCACGUAUUGCCGUACAGCCCAUCAGUAAAAUAGAGAGUUGCUGAUGAGACCAUUACUGCUUUUUCAUGAUGAAAAUUAAUUAAAUACUAAGUUGUUCUCUAUAUGUUUGGGGAAAAAAGGAGAUAAAGUAGCCAAAAUGUACUAGAGAGAACAAAGAAUAAUACAUUUAAGUACAUACGACUAUAAAAUCUACAUAAGGCACAACAACGUGAUUAUAAUGUGCAUUUCUGUUAGUACACUUAGAAAAGAGAAUCAAGCAAAGUAAAAAAUAAAAAUAAAAAAAUUAUCUCAAUGGCCAAAAACAGUAAAAGCACCCUAGCACCAAGCUUUAGACCAUAAAAAAAUUUCCACAUCAAAAUAUGAUUCAGAGUUUGUAACCGAUAGAUCCCCACUGAAAUAACGAAUGAUAUGUUUCAUGUUUGAUUGUAAACAAAAAAAGGGCCAAAGGUCUCCAGGUGCAGACAAAUAAACCAUAACACAAGGUAGGUGUGUCAUUACAAGGCUAGACAAAAUUAAUGGCAAAAGCAGCAGCAGCAGCGUAACCAACCCCACUAUAGUCGUUGAACACAUGGAAAAGUGAUGUACUUUUGUAAAACAAAUCUGGUAUUUGGUCAAGAAAUGCGUUGUUAUACUUACAAAUUUGUACAUCAGUUCAAAGUUCAAACAAAUGAUACUUCUAUUCAUAAAGUUCUGAUCAAAAUUAAUUUUUCUUCAUCUUCACAUUUUCCUUCCCAUAGGCAUUAUCCUUUACACAUAAAUAUCCAAAAGCUUCUACAUAAAGCAACUUCUUUUAAACUUCAUUUCACUGGAAAGAAAACAAGUGGCCUACCAUUAAAGUCAACAAAGUCAUAAGAAGCCCAGAGAUUUGAUCUACUCCCUUUAUAUCUUUUCCCAGCUUUUCUAGUUUUGCGAAAUUAGCAUAAAGAUAAAAGCUGCAACAGGGACAUGGCCACACUCAGCAACAUGUAAUGGAAUUUAGCACAUGGUCACAUUUAGUUAAAGUAGAAAAUAAUAUCACACACCAACUUUCUGAAGCAAUCCCAAUAACAGAGAUAAACUACAUUCUAACGACAGAUACAACAUUAAUUGAUAUAACUGGAAACAGUAGGCAUUCAUGUAAUUUACUUACAUCAUAUCACUGCAAGUAUGAAACCUUUUUUCCAAACAAAUAUUUUAAAAAAUAAAUAAAUCAGAAGGCGUAAGUGCUUGACAAAAAUUUAUUCGGAACUACUUAGAGUGCAUGAAACAACUAAACUGCGGAGAUAUAUAAAAAAGGUGGUUUUUGAAAUCCCUGUACAACUAUGCUAAGCAGACAGAAAGAAUUAGGAAGAAGAAAAGACAGCAAACAGGUUCUGCAAUGCAAGUACUAACAACCAUCAAUUACAAUAUAAAACAUCUGUCGAACAGUUACGAGCUAAUAAGAACUACAAACUAAUCAGGAAAGAUGAUGAUACAGAAAAAAAGGAACAUCACAAUCUAAAGAUCUUUACAAGUCAGGUGGAAGAAAGCUCACGCCUCAGUAGAAGCUGGCUUCAACCUGACGAUAAUCUGCAAUCCAAAGGGACAAGGUGAUAUUAGAAGAAUCCUUCGAAAUUUAAGGUUUUCAAAAUAUGUGCAGCUGCUGAGCUACCUUUGUUUUUUCAUUUGGACCUAUGUAAUCACAUAACCUCUUUCCACUUGCAAGUUCUUUUCCAGCCCACCAUAGCCGCAUGCGAUCAUGAAGCUGGUGUUCUAGAGAUAGCGUGGCUUGCGUGGAUUAGCAAGAUAAUUGAUGGUAGAUAAUGCGACAUGUGUGAUACAGAAGAUAAAGCUGCUGACAAACGAUACAGAAGAAACACUAAAAGAAGUACACAAGUACAUAUAUAGUUGCAUAUUUUCAUCUAAAAUCGGCUAAAGUCUGAUUGAUGAUCCAAAUGAUGAAUUCUUAGGCUGCAGAGGUAAAGCUAAAAUUUAUAUUUUGGUUUCGAGAUUGAUGUAAUAUUGUUCGCUUAAAAACUGGUUUCUAUCAAUAUUCUAUACAGAAUUAGCUUUAAUUGGACGGGACACGAAGCUGAUAAGAGACAAUUUACUUAUCUUUGAGAUGAGAAUAAAUCUAGUCUGAGAAGACUUUGGGAACUUUCAACCAAGCUUAGAACAAUUCAUUAUUCUUAGCUUGAGUAGAGAAAAGUCCUGACGAGCGCGACGCCUGUAAUGUGCUAAAUUGAAUAUUUGUGGCUACGUUUUUGCUCAUAGGGUAAACAACAUGCGGCGAUGAUUGCCAACGAAGAAUCAGAUAGCAGUUUUUGCCGGCUAAACAAAAUUGAUUUCAUCUUCGGCAGGCAUAGUGCGCAAGGAGAGAACACAAGUUGCAGAGAUAUAUUUGAACAACGCAAUAUACUGGGACGAAUUCUAGGAUUACAUAGAAGAAAACUGGUACCAGAUAGGGAUUGAAAAUCAAACCCAGGGGGCGCCUCUUGUUGAGCAAGGACGAGUGCUCUCUCGAUGCUCGUAAUGUGGUCUCUGAGAGCACGGGGCGACAAGAAACGAUUGCGCAGCACCUGCUCCUGAAAUAGUAUUCGAUCUCAAACUCUCUCUCUCUCUCCAUAGAAGUUCGACAUAAAGAAUAAUAAUUAAAAAAAAAAAAAAGGCAAACCAUGGAAAACUCACUCGCCUUUGAUGCGUAGGACUCGGCCUCGGAGACAGCUCUCUCGAGGGCAACAAGCGCCGGGUCCCGAUGGCUCUCUGCUGCACCUGGGAAGGCGCGGGGGAGGAGACGCGUCCUGACGAAGGGGGAGAGGGAGUGGAGGAUCUUGGACUGGAGACGGUGGAUGUCGGCGAUGGACUCGGCAACGUCGUCGACGGCGGAGGAAGACGAACACUCGUACAGGAACUCCGCCUGCAGCUGCAGCUGCGGCUCCUCCUCUUCCUCCGCUCCCGCCUUCACGUGCACCACCACCAUCUUAAUUUCCUCCCCCUUCGCCGUCUUCAGCUCUCGUAUUUGUCCCCACGCAUCUUGGGCCCGAGCCCCGAAAAGCUGCACAAACGCCAAAAAAAAAAAGAAAAAAGACAAAGCAAUAGGCCCGAGAGUUGCUGGGCUGCAGCCCGUUAGACAUACCCAAAACAGUGUUAGUGUUUGAAUAAUAAUGAAAAUGAAUAAACUAUUAUUGCUCUACAGUCUACACUUCAACCGUGAUAAAAUUAUUGACUGCUUGCAGCCGGCACGCCCCAGUUCAUCUUUGCGCAUCGCGCCCCGCCAUCCCAUUUAUUUCCAUUCCAUCCGGCAAGUCAGUCAUGGUUGAAUGUAGCACACAUGGGAUGAUUCAUUGACGCAACUGACCCAAAGAAAAAAAUAAAAUAAAAAGAACGAGAAUCAACGAAAUUUACUGCUUCGAACUAUACCAGCGAAUAGUAUCUUUCUAGUUAACGCAGUUCAGGUCGAUCUUGUGCGAUACAAACGAUUAGGUAUCUUUUAAUUAGCACAAGUAUCAACAAGGUCAAGUGUAAAAGUCGAAAAAAAAUGUAAUAGUCCUACAACAGCAUAUAAUUACAUUCUCCAUUAACUUUAAACAACAUCAAUUGUGUGAGAAUCUAAAACCCUUUAGAGAUCUAUAACCGCCAAUAAUUACAUCCUCAUUUAACUUAAAACUCACUUCACUCUAGGCCACUCCCACCUUUGUUAAUUAUAGAAAGUUGAUCAGGUGCCUGAAUGGGUCACCACCGAGUCUAGGCAAAAAGGUGUCACCAAGUGAUGGAGGCCUCACUCAGUUUAGGAUAUACUGGGAAAUCGAGCUCAAGAAUUUGCUGUACCCAAGACUAACUCUUUCAGUUGCGGCAUCAAGCUUUCCAAGUACUCUUUUUUGGUUAAUAUCCUGUCGUAUGAGCAGUCGUCUUCCUGAACAGCAAAAGAGUAUAAAUGUAAUGUACGAUAACAUAAACAAAUAGAGCUAGCUAAACCUGCAAAGCCUGCACAAAUUAGCAGUUGAUAUAUGCUACCCGGAUCAACAAUUUAGAGGGGGCAAUGACUUAAAAAUCAGAUAAGGUGGAUGAGAAUGUGACUUGUGAUUCUGUGCGUGCAGUAGGGGGUGAUGAUGAUGACAACAAUAGCACCACACAUCAAGGAAAUCAAGCAAAGAAGAGAUAGAGGGGGGAAAAGAAAAAAGAGGAACUCCUUUACAUACGUCUCCAGUUGCAGCAGCUUGCAAUGCUAAGAGAGUAACCGUAGCACUGUGAUAAUCAUUCAAGACCUUAUGCGUCGACUCAGGUAAUUUAUCCUGCCAUAGUUUGCAUAAGCUUUUAUAAGCACAUGAAAUCAGUUCACUUAUCCAGCAAGCGUUAAUGAAAAAAACACGCACGAACAGACAAAAUCAGUAUACAGAAAUUUAUCGAAGAAUUAUAGCUUUCUUAACAGCGAUCAAAGUUUAUCCUGAAACAAACGUCGAAAUCUGGAGUAGAUAAUCUUUACCUUCAAUCGUGAGACAACAGCAGAUAUGGCUCUUCCGGGUGCCUGAAGAGGCUUGUUGUAUAUCUGAAUGAAGAGUAACAAGUAACAUCCUUCAUUCAAAUUUCCAACACAGAAUUAUGGGGGCAAAAGAAUAGAGAGAUAAUGUUGAGACAGAACAAACCUGCAUAUGAAGUAGAGCAACAACCUUUGGCAGGAGCACAACUGGAUCAGUCUCUGAAGAAACUUGUGAUGCCAAAUCCUAUUCAUAGUAAGAAGAUAAAAUUCCACAUAAGAAAAUUACAACAUUCAUUGUUAAUAACAUUGCCAGCACUAAAAAAGCAUUGAUGAAAUAAGAUGGAUAACUGUCAAUAACACAAGAACUAGAAAAACUUUGAGCAAAAGAUAGACACCAGAACACUCUGGCAAAAACAAGAUCAACUGUAGUAAGUUGAUGGAUAAAUAACUUUUUCAAACUUCAGCGGAACAGCAUCUAUCCUACACAAAAUAAUAGAAGAUAAAAGAAUUAAAUUAAAGGGGUCUAAUCAGCGAACUAGACAUCCAUCUAUUUAUAGAUUCUGCUAUACAUUUACAUAAUGGUGCACAGUGGUUUUGCACACUCCCAACAGGAUGCAAAGUAAAAGAAAGCAUCCCUGGUUAUUGACCGAAACAAAUGAAAAAUGUUGAAAUAAGGAAAGCAAAUUUAUUAGUACUUUAGACAAUAAUCAACCCAGAGAAUUACUAGUACAAGGCCAUCUAGCAUAGUUGAACAUCUUAACAUACCUUACGAUAAGAAUGCAACAUUGUCCUCUCCAACUUUUUAUCAAGCUUCUUGAAUAGCAAGCCACUACAUCAUGAUGAAAAAGAAUAAGUGUCAAACUGCCAAUGAGGCCUCUAUGCGGAACUCAAGAAGAUAGUGCAUAUACCUUUCCUCUGCCAGGGCUCUUAAUGCAGUCAUGAAUGUAUCAACUCGCUGCAUAUAUUAUGGUACAAAAGGCAAUGAAAAAGAUAAGUCAUAACUUUAGUCAGAAGAUAAAGUGAUUAAGGUAGGUUUAAAU